GUUUGGCACCUGCUUGGGAGUGACACUGCGCGCUUUCGGGGUGGAGCCUCCGAGGAGGGACGCUGCCCUUAGGGUGCACCCUGCAUUGGGGUGGGGACGCUGUCCUUGGGGUGCCCCCGCCUUCUGGGGGGUGGGGUCUGUAUGGGGGUGAAGAAGGUGGCAGCCUCCUGGGAGUGCCAUCUGGCCGUGGGGUGCGCCCUCUUGAUGGUACCCCCAGCUUGGAGUGCUCCUGUCCAGAGGAUGUCACACCUGCCUGGGGGUGCACCCAUUUGAGGAUGCCACACCUGCCUGGGGGGAUGUCUUUCUGUUGGGGCACCUUCCAUGGGCUGAUCCCGUGUUUGGGGUUACACUCAGCUUGGGGUGACACCCUUCUUAUGGUGGCAUUUUGCAUGGGGUGACCCCAAGGAGGGCAAUUGCAUCCAGUUCAUAGGACACAGCCCCACAGCAGGAAUGCUGCUUGGGCUGGGAGGUGGGCAGGUGGAAGGGAGAUGGGACUGUGGGUGCCUCCUUGCUGCCCUUAGCCCUGAGCUGCAGGAGGGGAGAGAUGGAGAUGCUGUGUGUGUGGGUAAGCAGAUGUGUGCAGUUGUUUCGGGGUGAUGGUGGUGCCCUCUGCUAGCAACUGUAGAGAUGUGGUGGUGGCUGAGUGUUUGCACUUGGCAAAACAGCAACAGGAGCCCCAUGGGUCCGUAGCUGUGGUAGUACAAAGAAGCAAAACAGAUUCACAGGGAAGAAAACAUGAAUACAUCAGUAGUGCAGCCAGCUGAAACCAUCUCCACACCCUGGCAGUGCUGUCAGCUGCUGCUUCUCAAGGGCUAACAGCUCAUCCUAACGAUGGAAUUACCCAUUCCUUUGCAUUCCAGCCAUGGGACAGCCCACAGUCUGCUACUGUAAUGUUGUAAAUUAGAUAAUAACACAGCUUUGUUAAGUGGGCUGAUUCUUCUUGCUGUAGUUUCUGUCUCAUUAGAAAUGAAGAGAAAAAAUAAAAGAAAAGAAAACCUGUCCUGAAGGAAACACCCAUUCAGCAGUCCCAGCUCUCUCCUGUAAUGAAAAUUUCCCAUUUUGCUUGUUAAGACAGCUGUAACCCCAAAAGAAAGGCAAUCCACACUCUAAAAUAAUAGAGCUGUUUGAGAAACUGGAAUGGGAAUAUGUGUUUAAACAAUAGCUGUGUGAUAAAAUAAUGACCGGCCUGUGCAGCUGUACUGCCAUAAAUAAUAAAAAAAAGACAAUUUAAUUCAACAAAUCCAUUAAUAUAAAUAAAAUAGCAAUCUCAGGGUAGAAACAAGAAAGUUGCUGUGAUAUAAAACCACGUGUAGUGCAAUGAAACCAUAUCGGCUCCAUCAGAGCAGGAGAUGUGCAUCAAGGCAUAAGAGGAGUUACAAAUAACAAUAUGACUGCCUUAUCUAAAGUGCACUAUCUCCUGGAAAGCUGAUGAAAACCCAGCAGGGUCUGCAGGCAGCUGCAGGCAUGUCCAUCCAUGCAAGCCUCUGCUGAGCAAAAUCUCAGUGGCUCUCUGUGCUCUUUGCACACAAGAGCUCGUGGGGUUUGUUUGAUCUCUGCUUCCAGUCUUGGCAAGCCCUGACUGCCUGAACGAGGCACCACAACAAAUAGGUGAGAGCACGGAUGGUGUUGUUUUGGUGGUGGAGCUCACAUGUUAAACGGGAGCUGCUGGGUGGUGAUGAGCUGCUUUGCCUUCUUGUUUGUUUCCUAAAUGUUGGUGACUAAAUCUCGGAGCAGACUGAUGCACUGUGAGCAUUUAGCCUGUUGAGCACAUUGACACUGAUGGAUGCUGAGCACUUUCAAGCUGGCCAUUUAGAGAGUUUGUAACCAGAAAUCAAUCCAGGCAGAAAAAAUGUACAUCUACCUGUUUACAUCAUAAACCACAAACGCGUUUGCAUCCUGCAACAAACACCUGGGCAACAUCCAGAGGAGACAUUCCCAACGUGUUAACUACUGCCAGCGCUGGGAUCCUGUAACCACAGCACAUGGAGAUGAUGGGAACUCAGUUAAAUUAAGGAGAACCACCAAGAUUGUGAAACGUGGCAGCAGGACAAGAGCUGGUUGCAACACAGGCUAGACUUUAGGUCUGUUGGCCAAUCGAACACAUCUGAUGCUGGUGAUUGGGAUGCCAGAGACAGUUCCCUGACUGCUGAUCUACCCUGUGGGUCACUGAGGCACGUUCUUGAGGGCUGAUCCUCCUGGCCUGCACAAAUCUGCAUGUCCAAUUUCCCGAAUGGCAGAAAAUUCUACAUUAAGAUGACAUUUAUCAGCUAAUCUUUUAAAAGAAAUUAACUGGGUAUUUAUGAGGCUUAGACUUAGGGUAUCAUAGAAUCAUUAAGGUUGGAAAAGACCACCAAGACCAGCAAGUCCGACUGUCAACUGAUUCCCCACCAUGCCCACCAACUACAUCCUUCUGUGCCACAAUCUAACUUCUCAGUGGCACCAGGGAGAGCACAACCAAGCUCCUUUUGGAUCCCACUUGUAUCUUGUUCCCUUACUGCAAGGACAGACCCAAGCCCAACCCUGGCAAACAUUUCCUACCAGGGCAGCCACCACUGUGCAGGCUGGGUGAUGAGGCACCAGUGGGUGCAAGGAAACCCUAAAGCCCACAGGGGUCAGGGCUGGCAAUGCCCCACAUCCCUCCAUGCUGCUCAGCCCUUCUGCUGAUGUUCUGCAGGAGAGCAGCAGCUGAUGGUGCUAAAAAUACCCUUGGGCAGGGUAGCAGUGGUUCAGCACUGGGCUUCCCAGAAGAGUGCUGGUAUUUCAGCCUUGUGACUCCAGCUCAGGCCACUUGAUGAACAGCAUGCAACUUUGCUCUGAUUUCCCCAUUUGGUAGGGAACAAUCUCAGUAACGGAUGGAUAAGUCAGCAAACAGCAUAGUUCGCUUUCUUAUUUUAGGUCUCCCAUAGACAUAGAUAUGAAUGACUCUGAAAUAUAGGCAGCACCUGGUCCUUCCCUGCUGUCACAUUGUCCCCUUGAUGGAAAAGCAAAGGAGAUUCCUAUACAAGAUCCCUCUGUAGGUCUGAGGAGGCAGCCGUAAAUGUCCGACCAUAUGCGUGCCAAACAUCCAACCACUCUGCAACCUCACUUUGCCCAUUGCACGUGGGGCAAGAUGGGAGGGAUUCCCCAAAUCUGCAAGCACAUCCCAUAAAAUACCCCGGACACCAGCUGAGAGCACCACCUGUCAGUGGAGUGCUUUGUUCCCAAACCAGGUCCUGCUGGCACAUCCCUCUGACACACUCUACAGAAGAAAAAGUAAAACUAGGAACUUUUUGACUUCUUAUUUUGCAGAAGUGUGACCUUUCGACCUGAAUCACGAUGAGUGGUUAUGAGGAAGAGCUGCUCUCACUUCUAAAUUAUUGCCAUGCAAUGAGCAGGUUUCCAUGGGGUAGCUGAAGGCAUGUCCUGAGGUACAAGGGAUACAAGCAUCCCAUUCUUGCUCUACUUUGCACUAAAGGACUGGUCUUAGAGGAGCUUAUUCUCUAAAAAUGACCUGACUGGCUGAAUAAAACACAAUUUCUGUUUUAAUAUUGUUGUGUUAUGAAACACUGCAAUAGAGGCACAAAUGUGGGCAAGAACAAGUUUUACUGCAGACGCUUUAUCUGCUGAUAGAUUGUCCCAGUGCUGCAUUCCUCAUUCCCUGGGGGUCUGGUCCAGCUCAGAUUGGAAGAUAGUGAAGAUCUUGGGAGAUCUCCAGUAGUGUGGGUCAAAAUUCACUGAUUACAGAAAUGCAAUUGGUUCAGUUGAUCUGCAUAAAGAAAAAAACCACAGCCCAUAGUGGGAAUGUAGAGUAGGAUUGAGAGGAAAAGCUGAGCCCUAAUAGGGAGGCUGGUGCAUGGUGUAUUCAAUAAUUGCAUUUAUGAAUAAACAAUUAAGUAUUACCAAUGAAUCUCUUGCAUUUUAUUGACCCAGGCACAGAAGCUGCUUUUUGGCACUGAUGACUUGCUCAGUUCACGCUUGACAAUGGGGAAUUGUAGUGGCUGUUCCCUUAAGAAAUCAUCCAAGAUUGGGACUUAUUUGUGCGCCAUUGCUUGCAUCAAUUAACAGUACAAUCUUUUUGUUAUGAAAACGCAAACAUUAGUAGCCUGAGGAGCCUUGUAAAUGCAAAUAUAAAACUUUAAUUUCAGUAACCCCCACUUUCCCUUCAAGUACAAUAAAGGCUCUUUUUUUUUUUUUUUUUCAUUUGCUGUUACAACGACGGGUCUUUAUUAUUAUUAUUAUUAUUUUUCCUCUUUCUCUUCACUUUACAUUGAGUUUAACUCAGGGGAUUUCAGUAGGGAUAGUUUUCCAUCAGCAGAUAUGGGGUGGCUGCAGCCGGUGCUGGGAUCUGUGGGCUCCUUGGGGCAGGUCAGUGCCAACCAUAGGGAGGGGAUCAUGGCUGGGCACUGGGGCCAGCCUUGGGCAGGGCAGAAUUCUCACGUGAGGAUUCUUUCCACUCUCUCCAGGCAGCUGGAGAGCCUAAAUUUGGCAUCGUGUUUCUGUUGCGAGAAUGAGAAGGAGAGAGAGACCUUGAAACGUGCCCUUGGCCAUGGCCCCGGUUGGGUGACCAUUGCUGCAGGGAAUGCUUUGGGGUCAAAACUGAUGGUUUUACUGUGAAGUGGUAUGAAAGAGAGAGCUGCCUUCUUGAAAGCAAGGUGGGAGAUGGCACCUGAGUCCGUGAUGAAAGAAUUGGACAAAAACCCAAGGUCUGCUUUCCCCUCUCUUUUUUACACCACGCAUGUACAAGUAAGACAGCCGCUUUGCUUUCUUCCUCCCAUGUUGGCCCAAGUGUGCCUGGGUAUGUUUCUAAACAGAAAACCUGCCCUCAGCAAGGUGCAGUCUGCAGCUCCUCAGGUUCCC
rnacentral:lncRNA from 1 species